UACAGAGGGUGCAAGCGUUGUUCGGAAUUAUUGGGCGUAAAGGGCGCGUAGGCGGUGCGGUAAGUCUGUAGUGAAAUCUCUGGGCUCAACUCAUAGACUGCAUGAGAAACUGCCGGGCUUGAGUAUGGGAGAGGUGAGUGGAAUUCCUGGUGUAGCGGUGAAAUGCGUAGAUAUCAGGAGGAACACCUGUGGCGAAAGCGGCUCACUGGACCAUAACUGACGCUGAUGCACGAAAGCUAGGGGAGCAAACAGG
rnacentral:rRNA from 1 species